rnacentral:rRNA from 1 species
ACGAACGCUGGCGGCGUGCUUAACACAUGCAAGUCGAACGGUGAAGGGACCAGCUUGCUGGUUCUGGAUGAGUGGCGAACGGGUGAGUAACACGUGAGUAACCUGCCCCCUUCUUCUGGAUAACCGCAUGAAAGUGUGGCUAAUACGGGAUAUUCUGGGUCUGUCGCAUGGCGGGCCCGGGAAAGAUAUUGCUUCGGUGGGGGAUGGGCUCGCGGCCUAUCAGCUUGUUGGUGGGGUGAUGGCCUACCAAGGCGGUGACGGGUAGCCGGCCUGAGAGGGUGGACGGUCACACUGGGACUGAGACACGGCCCAGACUCCUACGGGAGGCAGCAGUGGGGAAUAUUGCACAAUGGGCGCAAGCCUGAUGCAGCGACGCCGCGUGAGGGAUGGAGGCCUUCGGGUUGUAAACCUCUUUCGCCAGUGAAGCAGGCCUGCUCCUUGUGGGUGGGUUGACGGUAGCUGGAUAAGAAGCGCCGGCUAACUACGUG